rnacentral:rRNA from 1 species
UAUCCGCCCGGGAAAUACGAGCACUAGCUUAAAACCCAAAGGACUUGGCGGUGCUUAAGAUCCCCCUAGAGGAGCCUGUUCUAUAACCGAUAACCCCCGUUAAACCUCACCCUCCCUUGCUUUUACCGUCUAUAUACCGCCGUCGUCAGCUCACCCCAUGAAGGCCUUAAAGUGAGCAAAAUUGGUAAAACCCAAAACGUCAGGUCGAGGUGUAGCACACGAGAGGGGAAGAAAUGGGCUACAUUCUCUAACUCAGAGCACACGAAAAAUGAACUGAAAACCACAUUGGAAGGAGGAUUUAGUAGUAAGUGGUGAAUAAUGAGCACCCCUGAAACAGGCCCUAAAGCGCGCACACACCGCCCGU